ACUCCUACGGGAGGCAGCAGUGGGGAAUCUUAGACAAUGGGCGCAAGCCUGAUCUAGCCAUGCCGCGUGUGUGANGAAGGCCCUAGGGUCGUAAAGCACUUUUGCCAGGGAUGAUAAUGACAGUACCUGGUAAAGAAACCCCGGCUAACUCCGUGCCAGCAGGCCNCGGUAAUANUGAGGGGGUUAGCGUUGUUCGGGAAUUACUGGGCGUAAAGCGCGCGUAGGCGGACCAGUCAGUC
rnacentral:rRNA from 1 species